AGUGCCCGAAAGGGAACUGGGACACAGGUGCUGCAUGGCUGUCGUCAGCUCGUGUCGUGAGAUGUUGGGUUAAGUCCCGCAACGAGCGCAACCCUUGUCGCUAAUUGCCAUCAUUAAGUUGGGCACUUUAGCGAGACUGCCGGUGACAAACCGAAGGAAGGUGGGGAUGUCGUCAAGUCCUCAUGGCCCUUAUGGGUAGGGCUCCACACGUCAUACAAUGGUCGGUACAGAGGGCUGCCAACCCGCGAGGGGGAGCCAAUCCCAGAAAGCCGAUCGUAGUCCGGAUUGGAGUCUGCAACUCGACUCCAUGAAGUCGGAAUCGCUAGUAAUCGUGGAUCAGCAUGUCACGGUGAAUACGUUCCCGGGUCUUGUACACACCGCCCGUCACACCAUGGGAGUGGGUUUCACCAGAAGUAGGUAGCCUAACCGCAAGGAGGGCGCUUACCACGGUGGGAUUCAUGACUGGGGUGAAGUCGUAACAAGGUAGCCGUAGGGGAACC
rnacentral:rRNA from 1 species